rnacentral:rRNA from 1 species
CCUACGGGAGGCAGCAGUGAGGAAUAUUGGUCAAUGGGCGAGAGCCUGAACCAGCCAAGUCGCGUGAGGGAGUACUGCCCUAUGGGUUGUAAACCUCUUUUGUCGGGGAGCAAAAGCCGGACGUGUCCGGCUGUGAGAGUACCCGAAGAAAAAGCAUCGGCUAACUCCGUGCCAGCAGCCGCGGUAAUACGGAGGAUGCGAGCGUUAUCCGGAUUUAUUGGGGUUAAAGGGUGCGCAGGCGGAUUUUUAAGUCAGCGGUCAAAUCGUGGGGCUCAACCCCAUCCAGCCGUUGAAACUGGGGAUCUAGAGUGUGCGAGAGGUAUGCGGAAUGCGUGGUGUAGCGGUGAAAUGCAUAGAUAGCACGCAGAACCCCGAUUGCGAAGGCAGCAUACCGGUGCACAACUGACGCUCAGGCACGAAAGCGUGGGUAUCGAACAGGAUUAGAUACCCGGGUAGUC